GACUAGUAUAAACGGGUAGUGAAUGGAUAACUAGGAUGUUAUAUAAGGACGUUAUUAAUACGAAAAUUGCCAAUGAGAAAGAUGAAGGGCAAAGUUCCUAAAAAAGAAAAUAAUAAACCCUAGGAAUUGAAACAUCUCAGUACUAGGAGGAAAAGAAAUCAAGUGAGAUUCCGUUAGUAGUGGCGAGCGAAAGCGGAGGUAGAAUUGCAAAAUAAUAGUCUCUGAUAUAGAAUAUGGAGUAGAAUAAUUUGAAGAUAGGUGUACCACGCAUCUAAGUCUAAAUAUAUAUAACGUACCGAUAGUGGACUAGUACUGUGAAGGAAAGUUGAAAGAGAUAAAAAUGAAAUAGAACUUGAAAUUCGCUAUCUAUAAGCAGACGAAAUCGUCGUACCUUUUGUAUAAUGGGUUCGCGAGAUAAAUAUUUGGCAAACUUAAGUUGAUAAACGUAGGUGAAGUGAAAACGAAUUUGAAUAGAGUACCAAGUCAAAUAGAACCCGAAACCAAGUGAUCUAACUAUGGGCAGUUUGAAGCUUCUAAAAAUGGGGGUGGAGGAACGAACCGGUGAUUGUGGCAAAAAUCUCGGAAGACCUGUGGUUAGGGGUGAAAAGCUUAUCGAACUUGGAAAUAGCUGGUUUUCUGCGAAAAUUAUUUAAGUAGUGCGUCGUAAAUUAAAGAAUCUUCUUGGGUGGUAAAGCACUGAAUGAAUUACCGCAUGAAGGUAGUUUAGUCAAACUANGAAAGUAUAAGAAGAAAUAACGAUAGACAGGCCGUGAGCGAGAAGGUUCAUGGUCGAGAAGGGAACAGCCUAGAUUAGAAGUUAAGGUCGUGGAGAGGCUCUAAGUGUAAAGGGGGUUGGAAUAUAAGUAAAACUAAUGGGGGAGUAGGCUUUGAACCAGCCAUCUUUGAAAGAUAACGUAAUAGUUCACUCAAUAAAUUUAUAGAUCCCUGAAUUAUGGCGGCUUAAGUUGUUAAAAAUAACCGAAACUCUAAAUCGCCUCUCGGCGGUGGUAGCAGAACGUACUGUAAUUAAAGUUUGAAAUAGCGAAAGCGUAUUAUCAGAAGUGACAAUGCGAAUAUGAGUAAAAAACGGCGUGAAAAUCGUUGCUCAUGGCCCAAGGUUUCCAAUUUUAGGAUCUUCCGAAUUGGGUUAAACCGUCCCUAAGAAUGUAUCGAUGGGUAAUAAAUAGUAAGCUUAAAUAAAUUAUUUAAGAGAGGAGGAGACGGUACUACAGACUAACUCAAGUGGGCUAAAAAGUGAUGGUAUAAUUUAUCUUAAGGAACUCGGCAAAUUGUCCCUGUAAGUUCGCAAGAAAGGGAGCUAGUGGAAAAUAGAAGCGGAAGAGCUUAAUUUACCUGGUUUUAGAAAAGAGGGGGCGUCGCCUGUUUACCAAAAACAUAGCUUUCAACUAAGGACCUUUGAGUCUGAAGUAUUGAAGGUGAGGCCUGCCCAAUGGUUGAAUUUAAAAUUGAGUAAUAAAAUAAGUUACUCGACUAAGAACAAUUAAAUGGCCGCGGUAACUCUGACCGCGAUAAUGUAGCGCAAUCAAUAGUCAAUUAAUUGUUGGCAAGUAUGAAUGGCUUCACGAGUGCCCCGCUGUCUCAAGAUAAAUACCGAUGAAAUUGAAUUCGUAGUGAAGAUGCUACGUACAAAUUGUUAGACGAGAAGACCCCGUUGAGCUUUACUGUAAACUUAUAUUGCUUUUUUUAAUUAAUUGUAUAGGUGCACUAUUUAAUUUUUUGGUAAAAAACUAAUAAAAGGUGUAAGUGGGACAGUUUGGUUGGGGCGAUCGCCUUCUAAAGAGUAACGAAGGCGCACAAAAGGUGAAUAUUGUAAUAGAAUAGAAGAAAAGCUUGAUAGCAAGAGUAAUUCUCGAGCUAACACGGGAGAGGGCCCGUGGGUUAUAGUGACCCGUUUGUUUAGGGUGGAAUAACUAACGAUCAAUAAAUAAAAGUUACCACGGGGAUAACAGCGUAAUAUCGUUUGAGAGUUCGUAUCGAUGAUGAUGUUUGCNACCUCGAUGUUGAAUUGCGGUUUCCUGGGGGUGCAGCAGCUCCCAAGGGUUGGACUGUUCGUCCAUUAAAACCGUACAUGAUUUGAGUUCAGACCGGCGUGAGCCAGGUCGGUUUCUAUCUACAAUUUGUUUAGGAAACAUUAGAUACAAUUACAUUCUAGUACAAAAGGACCGAGUGUUUAGUUAUCCGCUGGUGGACCAAUUGUAUUGCUGUUGGGUGGCUACGAUAAAAUUAAUAAUCACUGAAUGCAUUUCAAGUGAGAAGUAAAGUAUCAUUCUGUGUUUCCAAUUUGAGGACCGUUCGAGAAUAGAACGUGGAUAGGAUCUAUAUGUAGUUUAAGAUUACUAAGUUUUUAAAUACUAGUCGU
rnacentral:rRNA from 1 species